UGGACUCCCUCUGUCCAUCCCUCACUAGCCCCUACCUCGUCUCCCGUCUCCAGGGGCAGCCGUCUGCAUCUCGUUCCCCUCUCCCUCCGACAUGGCCGCCCCCAUCCACCGCCCACCCCCGCCGCCGCUGCCCUCACCCUCUCCCUGCCCAGGCCCCACAUCAAGCAGCGGCCAUGGCGUUCCCGGCCGCCGUGGUGCGUGAUUCCCACCUCUACCUCUGCCUCGCCGUGGAUGGGAAGGAGAUCGGAAUCCUCCAUGGACGGACGCACUGAUGGGGGUCUCGUCUGACGACGGAGGCGGACCACCAGGAGGAGUUGCCGUGAGACGACACCGACGGUCGGCUCCUUCUCCACAACAACACAACACCGACCGUGGGGACUCCCGUUCUUCCACCCUGAUGGCCUCUCCUCCGGCGCCCCUGUUCUUCUUCCACUCCAGCACGAUGGUGCACGACAGAGCCGGCUGCGUGUGGUGCGUGCGGGGGGAUUCUUCUUCCACUCUGGCAAUCUGAGAGCAGCCAAGCAAGGUUAUUGAGAUAUGUAUCUUGCGAUUCUUUGUGUGCCGGUUACAUCUGCGGGUACGGCUGCACGAGUUCAUGUCUGUCAUUCACACAUGCAAAUUGUGAUGCCUGCUGCUUGCGACAGUUUCGCCCCUGUUCUUCUUCUACUCCGGCAAGAUGGAUUCAAACUUGGUUCUGAAAAGCACACCACAGAGGUCACCGUGAAGAAGUCUGGAAGCCUGCUUAUAAAUUCUGGGAUACAAGGAUACUCCCUGCUAAAGAUAACUCAGUCUGGAUUUGAAGGAUUCAUGAGGGAUCGCUACACUCUUCUUCCUGAAACAAGAGAAAGAAUUGUAGCUACAGAAGUAACUGCUUGGUGGAGCAGAUGAGAGGCUGGAAUGUUCCAUCCAAAUAGUUUAAUCAGAAACUGCACUGGCAAAGGUCUAGAGGAUGUAGAGGAGCUCCAGUUUGAUCCUAAGGAUGGCAUUGCUUUUUUUCUUCUUAUGCUCCAGUUUGCAGCAGCAUCUCCGACACCCUCUCGACGAAUUGCAGGUAGAUUGUAGCUGAGGAUGCGGCGAUGACCACCGAGGUAUGCCCUUCUCUCCUUGACCUUCAUGCUGGCUUCAACAAGGCCGAAAGAUCUUCAGUCUUUUACAAGGUCAACCCCGCCUUCCUUGCAAUCAAUCUGCUGGCGACAGUAGAAAUUAACAGUCCUUUGUAUGUGUUUCUACAUGGUGGAUAUACGUGCAUGACCGGAGUGCAUGCUCGGUGGCAGAAGCAUCAGGGUGCUCCACGCUCAACAUCUUCUCAGCAUAGCUGCUCGAUCAGUAGUUUUGAUUGAUCUAUUUGAUAAUUUAAGCCAUCCAGUUGAUGUUCUUGGUUCGCUCAUGCUCUUUUCUUAUGUUGUUGUUUAAUCACUAUUGGCUUGGAUAUUCUCUAUAGCAUCUCAACAAUUCACUGCAACUGGCCAGGUUAUUCUGUAUAUUUGAUACUGUACGAGAGUAGCAGUCGGACUCAAAAAAUCACAACAUUCUGCAGGUCCAAAUUUACAUUGAUCGUUUAGUGGUUCAUCGAAAUUCUUCUGCCUAUGACUUUGAAAUUGGCCAGUAAAAGCCAACAUCCACCCUCUUCACAGCCGCAGUCAGGGAUUCGUUCAUUUUAGUGUGAGUAAGGAUGGGAACAUUGAUCUAUAUAUGGUAAUAUUUCAUGCUGAUUUCAUUUCUCAUUUCAUUGAUCAUCCGUGUUACUCCUUUGACAAAUGAUAUUUAUAGUACUUCUGGAUGACAAAGACUUUGAGUUCUGUGUGAAGCUCCAAAAGGAAUACCUAUAAGACUCCUUCAUCAACUUAGUAAGAUUGCAUAUGCCCUUUGCGUUGCACAGGUCCAACGCCUCGCUCCUCUACUCAUAGUGAAAAAAACUUAGGUACUCUGAAAUUUAUCUUUUCUUCCCCUCAUGCUUUGUUAGGUUAGAUCAAUAGUUUUAUCUUAUUGGACCUGUGCAUUUUGAGAGUCCGAAAUGGGAACAUUAAAUUUACUUGGACCCUAUCUUAUUCUCAUAUCUGUAACUAGCUUUGCUUGUCAUUUAGAAGGGAUGACCUAAGGAGUAGAGAGAUUCGAGGCAAUCAAAAUCCUGCAUAUGUAUGUUUACAUGCGUUUGAUAAUCCUAUGCCAGGGCCACAUAUAUAGGGACAUUCAAAAUUCUACACCAGGUUUACGUAUAUAGGGACAUAUUCAGCUGAGGUUCACGUAUAUACAAACCUGAAACUGUAUGCUUCAAACCGGAUGUGGCAGUAAUCCACUCAUCAUGCAAAACAAAACAAAAAUCUGUUACCUAGCAUGUAUUUGUUUGUACAGAUGAUGCAAUGUACUACAUUUUGUUUGCAUAAUACAUCACCUAGCAUGUAUUUUUUAUAAUCGAGCACCGCGACGAAUCUGUUAUUUACCUUAGGAGGGUAAGAAAAAACACAAUCAAUGACAUUAUACAUAAUUCUAGACAUUGUUUUAGAGUAUGUUCUGAAGUAUAUUUUUCUUCCAGUAAAUGUUGGAAAUGUCUAUGUACUUUUUUCUCCCAAUAUGUUAUGGUCAUCUUCCUGCUAUGCAUAUAAAUUUCAUGGCCAGCUUACCAGCUGGUGGUUGGCGAUCCUUUCUAUCUUCUUCCUCGCCGGCUCGAUAAAUCUCUUGGUUUCCUUCUCCUACCACUAUUCCUCCCUUGUGCUCUGUAACUCGGCCAUUGAUGUGGCUGUUAGUAAUAAGACGGUAAUAUUUGUUUUAUAGAAAUACUUGUUUUUUUGCGGGUGUUUAGAAAUACUUGUUAGUUGCACAGGUGUACCCUGCAAGGAAUAAUUUUACAAUGGAAAUGCAUAUCUGUUGAAUUGAUGACUAAACAAGUUUGCGGGCACAUCUCUGAAAAUACAAGCAAAUACAGACAUAGAUUUAAGGGUUCUCAUUCAUUUAAAUCUCAAUGUUGAGAGAAGCCGAUCUCUGGAUAUGAGUAUUUUCUUCCCUGUUUGCGUGAUUGUUUAAUUGAAUGGAUAACUGUGUCUCCUGAAUAUUGUCCCAUAUAAUUGUUUUAAAUCUACCGAAUUAGUUCUCUAAAUCAGUUGAUAUUUUGCAAAGCUUCAAGCUUUAGUUUUUGCACUUAAUGACAUCAAUUGUUUGUGCAGAUUCAAGAUUUAUUUCUGUACUGGAUGAUAGCAGUGAUUAGUGAUUACUGUCACAUGCUGCUGUUGUCAUCCAUAUCUCCUCAGGUGCCUUAGGUUUGUGAUGCGAAAGUUGUUCUACAUAUGUAAAUUGCUCUGUUCUUCUUUCGCCAAAUACAUUAAUAAGCCCGCGAUACACUUUGCUUCUUUUUUUAUCUAAUGUCUAUUUGUAGACUAAGUGUUUUAUUUAUGAUAGUGGAUUUCUGGCGUACAUGUGAAUAUCUCAUGUAUAUACAAUCAGUACACUCACCUGAACGAGAAUGUUAGCAAGCAGAGCGGGGUUGCGUCUUGUCCUUCUAGCGUCGAAGGUCCGGUGCACCCAUGGGUGUGCCUUUGCUGGUUUCUGACUGUCACAAAGAAGUCAGAGCUGUGGGCGGCGAGGCCACUGCGGCAACGAUGACUAUGAGAACAGUUUUCAGCAAGCGGUGCUCCCCGAAUGUUGCGUUGAACUACGUCAUUGCGUGGCUUGCAAUCUUCUCCUAUGAAGCCCGUAUGCAAAAUUGAAACUGUCAUGUCCUCGAUGUUGUGCUCGACUAUUCAUUGUUGCUUUGUGGCUCCGUGCUUCCUCUCCACAGUUAUAUCGUUUUUUGUGAUGUAAUCUUAUUAGUGGUUGGGUCAUCCAUGCGAGCCCCUUCUGAAGUUUGUAGUCUAGGUUAGAUACAUCCGUAUGUAGACAAAUUGAAGACAAAUAAUAUGGAAAGGAGGGAGUAUAUUAUUUGACUCAA